GUUACUGACGCUGAGAUGCGAAAGCGUGGGGAGCAAACAGGAUUAGAUACCCUGGUAGUCCACGCUGUAAACGAUGUCGAUUUGGAGUUUGUUGCCUAGAGUGAUGGGCUCCGAAGCUAACGCGAUAAAUCGACCGCCUGGGGAGUACGGCCGCAAGGUUAAAACUCAAAUGAAUUGACGGGGGCCCGCACAAGCGGUGGAGCAUGUGGUUUAAUUCGAUGCAACGCGAAGAACCUUACCUGGUCUUGACAUCCAUAGAAUUCUGCAGAGAUGUGGGAGUGCCUUCGGGAACUAUGAGACAGGUGCUGCAUGGCUGUCGUCAGCUCGUGUUGUGAAAUGUUGGGUUAAGUCCCGCAACGAGCGCAACCCUUAUUCUUUGUUGCCAGCGAUUUGGUCGGGAACUCAAAGGAGACUGCCGUUGAUAAAGCGGAGGAAGGUGGGGACGACGUCAAGUCAUCAUGGCCCUUACGACCAGGGCUACACACGUGCUACAAUGGCGUAUACAAAGGGAAGCGAAGGUGCGAGCUGGAGCGGAUCUCAUAAAGUACGUCUAAGUUCGGAUUGGAGUCUGCAACUCGACUCCAUGAAGUCGGAAUCGCUAGUAAUCGUAGAUCAGAAUGCUACGGUGAAUACGUUCCCGGGCCUUGUACACACCGCCCGUCACACCAUGGGAGUGGGUUGCACCAGAAGUAGAUAGCUUAACCGCGAGGGGGGCGUUUACCACGGUGUGAUUCAUGACUGGGGUGAAGUCGUAACAAGGUAACCA
rnacentral:rRNA from 1 species